AUGGCUGAGCAGUGGAAACAAACUGCCACCAACUCAACCUCACCCUCUGAGGGUCCUAGGCCAGCCUCCACACCGCCAGAGCUGAGAGAAGAGUGUCACAUGGAGCUAACCAUAGAGGAGCCUGCCGCAGGAAGCACCAAUACAGAGGUGAGACACACACACACACACACACACACACACACACACUAUUGUUUUUUUUGCCAAAAGUAGGGACAUCCCAUAGGCGUAAUGGUUUUUAUACUGUACAAACUGUAUAUUCUAUCGCCCUACACCAACCCUACCCCUUACAGGAAACUUUGUGCAUUUUUACUUUCUCAAAAAAACUCAUUCUGUAUGGUUUAUAA
rnacentral:lncRNA from 1 species